rnacentral:rRNA from 1 species
CCUACGGGUGGCAGCAGUGGGGGAUAUUGCACAAUGGGGGAAACCCUGAUGCAGCGACGCCGCGUGGGUGAAGAAGCGCCUCGGCGCGUAAAGCCCUGUCAGUAGGGAAGAAAAUGACGGUACCUGAAGAAGAAGCCCCGGCUAACUACGUGCCAGAAGCCGAGGUAAUACGGAGGGGGCAAGCGUUAUCCGGAUUUACUGGGUGUUAAGGGGGCGCAGACGGCGAUGCAAGCCAGGAGGGAAAGCCCGGGGCCGAACCCCGGGACUGCGAUUGGAACUGCGUGGCUAGAGUGCAGGAGGGGCAGGCGGAAUGCCUGGUGUAGCGGUGAAAUGCGUAGAUAUCAGGAGGAACACCGGUGGCGAAGGCGGCCUGCUGGACUGCAACUGACGUUGAGGCCCGAAAGCGUGGGGAGCAAACAGGAUUAGAUACCCUAGUAGUC